AGUGAACGCUGGCGGUAGGCCUAACACAUGCAAGUCGAACGGCAGCACAGGAGAGCUUGCUCUCUGGGUGGCGUGUGGCGGACGGGUGAGGAAUACAUCGGAAUCUACUCUGUCGUGGGGGAUAACGUAGGGAAACUUACGCUAAUACCGCAUACGACCUACGGGGGAAAGCAGGGGACCUUCGGGCCUUGCGCGAUGGAAUGAGCCGAUGUCGGAUUAGCUAGUUAGCGGGGUAAAGGCCCACCAAGGCGACGAUCCGUAGCUGGUCUGAGAGGAUGAUCAGCCACACUGGAACUGAGACACGGUCCAGACUCCUACGGGAGGCAGCAGUGGGGAAUAUUGGACAAUGGGCGCAAGCCUGAUCCAGCCAUACCGCGUGGGUGAAGAAGGCCUUCGGGUUGUAAAGCCCUCUUGUUGGGAAAGAAAUCCAGCUGGCUAAUACCCGGUUGGGAUGACGGUACCCAAAGAAUAAGCACCGGCUAACUUCGUGCCAGCCGCCGCAGUAA
rnacentral:rRNA from 1 species